rnacentral:rRNA from 1 species
UACGGAGGGUGCAAGCGUUGUCCGGAAUCACUGGGCGUAAAGGGCGCGUAGGCGGUCUGUCGCGUCUGCUGUGAAAACUCGGGGCUUAACCCCGGGCCUGCAGUGGGUACGGGCAGACUAGAGUGCGGUAGGGGAGACUGGAAUUCCUGGUGUAGCGGUGAAAUGCGCAGAUAUCAGGAAGAACACCCGUGGCUAAGGCGGCUCUCUAGUACGGUACUGACGCUGAGACGCGAAAGCGUGGGGAGCGAACAGG